rnacentral:lncRNA from 1 species
GUUUUUUGUGAAAAUGUGUUCUUGACUCAGUUGAGUUAAGGUAGAAAUCAUCUUAGCUUCUAAUUAGGGUCUGUCUUAAUACCUACUUUCCACAAAAGGAACAUUAACCCCAUCUCUGCCACAAGUAAAAUAUGAGAUGCUAAGAUCUGCCCUGUCUAUACCAAAACCAAAACUAGAUCACGAGCCUACCCUUCACUGUGUGCAAGCCAGCUGGCCCAGUAAACUGGUGCUUAGGACAGAUAGGGCACUCUGAGCAGUGAUGAUAGACAUGCGAGUUUAGUCAUUAAAUACAGUUCUGUAGCUUUCUUCUUCAUCCUCAUAUAUGUGUGUGUGAUCCUAGUCACCAAGUUUUACUUAAGGAAAGAGGGCUCUCAGCUAAGAAUCUACUCUUAACAUGUAAGUUCUGUUAUCUUAUUUAUGUUACAUAGUUUGUACUGAUGAUUUGUUUAGAAGAAAUGACUUAGUAUCUGAGUGAAGUAGUAUUUUCCUUAAAUUCUCAGUCUCUAAUCUAUUAUGGCUUUGAGUAUACACAUAGGGUCCCCAAAGCCCCAGUUUAAUCAGUAAACUGUCUUACUGAAUUUUGACCUC